CGAAACCACAGCCAAGGGA
rnacentral:snRNA from 1 species